CUUCCGUUAGCUCAGUUGGUAGAGCACCUGUACAUACGUGGUGAGCGAAAGCGCCUAGCAAUAACUGCCAGGAGGUCGCGGGAUCGAAUCCUGCCCGGGAUU